GAAGUGGCAGCUGUUGGGGGCGGCCGUUAGUUGGGGGCGGUCGUUACUGCCGGUGGCCGCAGGCUUCCCCUGGAGGAGCCCUCAUGGAGCAGGGCUGCGAGCGCCUGUCAAGGCCCGCCUACUGUUUUCCUCGUCGUAGUUCUGGGGCACCAGCUGGGCUCUGCGGAGCGGGAGGUGGCUGAGGCGCACCCGUUGAGCCCACCCCGUUGCUGUCCCCUCACGUACCAAGCCGAGGUGGCGGUGCCUGUCUGGUGGUCUGUCUGCGUAGCCUUAGCUUGAAAAUAAUGCUGGGCUAAAAAUUUCUGAGAGAAGAUAGGACGGUAUUAGUCUCUCAAUUUGAUAUGGUGACCAAAGGAAGUCUCCUGAAUGUAGUAAAGCCCCCCAGAGCAUGCUGCUGAGGCACAGAUUCAGCAGUAUGGGGUAUCUUACAUUCUAUGUAGAGCAGUUCAUUUCAAACCAAAGAGAGGAGAUGGCGCUGUGCGGUGUGGUUUGGAAACCAGUACCAGAACGGCCUCUGGCUAACCACCUUCCUGUCUUGGGAGCCACAUGUUGGAGAAAGUACAAACAUCUUCCUCAAGAGUGGACUUCUGUUCAGCAGUGGGUUCUCUGUAUACUUCCGAAGUCAGAAAAAGGAUGAUGAGCAAAUGUGCUAAUAAAGGUAUACAAGAAGAACUUGUGACUUAAGGAAACUGUAAACUGUCUGGUAUAAAUCAAUAUAAACUGGGAAAUCUAAUUGAUAUUUAAAAGCACACAAAGUGGCCCAGGAAGCAGAAUGGAAGAUUUUAUUGAUUAAAAUGGGCCCAAGCUCAGCCUCUCAUCAUUCCUGCAGUCUGAGGAUGAGAUGCCCCCCAGCUUUGCAACCCCAUCUAUUACUGUGAUUGCUAAUUUGAAGUGCAUUGUGGAGUGAGGAAGAAGCUGUUGAAAAGCAUUGAGUGCAGUCCUGUAUUUCUGAUCCAUGAGUUUGGAGCAGAUUGACAGAAGUCAAAGAAAAUGAUAUAGAGGCACACUGUCUUAAUUAAACAUAAGCCUUUACUUGCUGUUGUGACAGAAGCUUUACUACAUCAAACUUCAAAAAUUGCUUUAGUAGUAAUGGAAGAAAUCAUGGUUCGAAGACAAAAAGGAAUGCUGUUCACAUUCAUAUUUUACAUACUGUUUACAUUUAAUACUAUUGCCUGUGACAGUAGAGCAUUCAGGCCUGAACCACAGAAGCAAAGUUUGUCUAUAGAGGGUAUAGUGGUGGUAGAAGAAAAAUGCACGUCAGGCUUAAACAUCUUAUUUUAACUCUGGAUAGUAGUGAGAUGACUUGGUUGUAAUAAAUCCUGUGUUUUAAGUACUCUGGUUAUUGUUACUCAGUUUAGUGAUUCUUCAGAUUUCAUCUGCUGAAUCUUCUUUCUUUUCUUUUGCAGAUGUUUGAAUCUUAUCCACACAUCCAAAAUACUCUGUAAUAGAAAUUGUCAUUAUAGACCUGUUUCCAACGUUACAGUAAUGCAACUUGAGCAACUGUUGAUUUUACUGGUUUGUAAAAUGAGACCAGACCUGAGUCACUACUUCGUGUUGUUUUUCAAUAUGGUAUUUCAUUUUAGGAAAUACAAGAGUGCUGGUAGCCCUUGAGCACCUAUUUGGAGGGAGGUGAAUCUAUUCACCCUCUCCUUGUUCUUCCAUUCUGUUUGCAGAUAAGAUUUGACUGAACAGAUUUUUAAAGAACAAUCCUGGUAAGAGGGGUCUUUGAGUUAGUCUGGUACAGUACAUUGCACGGUUUUGGGAAGUGGAGGGACAGGCAGGGAGCUGGCUCUCUAGAUGAGAAUUUUUCUAU